rnacentral:rRNA from 1 species
GACGAACGCUGGCGGCGUGCUUAACACAUGCAAGUCGAACGAUGAAAGAGAAUCCGAUCUCUUCGGAGUGAAGAAUCUCUGGAUUAGUGGCGGACGGGUGAGUAACGCGUGAGCAAUCUGCCUUACACAAAGGGAUAGCCUCGGGAAACCGGGAUUAAUACCAUAUGAUAUCUAUUAACCGCAUGGUCUAUAGAUUAAAGAAUUUCGGUGUAAGAUGAGCUCGCGUCCCAUUAAUUAGUUGGUGAGGGUAACGGCCCACCAAGAUAGCGAUGGGUAGCCGAUCUAAGAGGCUGACCGGCCACAUUGGAACUGAGAAACGGUCCAAACUCCUACGGGAGGCAGCAGUGGGGAAUAUUGCACAAUGGGGGAAACGCUGAUGCAGCGACGCCGCGUGAGCGAUGAAGGCUUUCGAGUCGUAAAGCUCUGUCCUAUGGGAAGAUAAUGACGGUACCAUAGAAGAAAGCCCCGGCUAAUUACGUG